rnacentral:rRNA from 1 species
AAAGGCCCCUUCGGGGGUACUCGAGCGGCGAACGGGUGAGUAACACGUGGGUAACCUGCCCCUGGCUCCGGGAUAACCUUGGGAAACCGAGGCUAAUACCGGAUACGACUCGCGACCGCAUGGUCUGCGGGUGGAAAGGAUUCCGGCCAGGGAUGGACUCGCGGCCUAUCAGCUAGUUGGUGGGGUAAUGGCCUACCAAGGCGACGACGGGUAGCCGGCCUGAGAGGGCGACCGGCCACACUGGGACUGAGACACGGCCCAGACUCCUACGGGAGGCAGCAGUGGGGAAUAUUGCGCAAUGGGCGAAAGCCUGACGCAGCAACGCCGCGUGAGGGAUGACGGCCUUCGGG